CAGUAGCCGCGGUAAUACGAUGGGGGCUAGCGUUGUUCGGAAUUACUGGGCGUAAAGGGCGCGUAGGCGGCCAUUCAAGUUAGAUGUGAAAGCCCUGGGCUCAACCUAGGAAUUGCAUUUGAUACUGUUUGGCUUGAGUUCGGGAGAGGUGAGUGGAAUUCCCAGUGUAGAGGUGAAAUUCGUAGAUAUUGGGAAGAACACCAGUGGCGAAGGCGGCUCACUGGACCGACACUGACGCUGAGGCGCGAAAGCGUGGGGAGCAAACAGGAUUAGAUACCCCUGUAGUCCCUGUCUCUUAUAU
rnacentral:rRNA from 1 species